GCUGCGGCCGCCAACCACCCCCCCCCCCCCCCCCCGGCGAUCCCUAACCCCUCCUCCUCCUCCCUAACCCAAAUCCAACAAAUUCCUAACCGGAAGACCGUCCACGCGCCGCUCUACCUUCCGACCUUCUCUCUCUCUCGCUGGGAGCCAUGGCGACAUUCUCGUGGGCAUCCUUCCGGUUCCGCACCGGCUGAUGAAACUCCUUUAUAAGAGCCCGGAGGUUAAGGUUGUGGCGAUGGAUUGGAUUCUGAGGCACCAUGGUGUUGGGCUUGGAUCGAUUCUAUUGCUUCUCUUCUCUAAAUGCUCUUCGUGGAUUACUUGAAAUUAUUUGAGGUUCCUUUCACUCUGGAGGGUUCUAGUCGUUCUUUUUGUGGUUUCUAGUUUGAACAUCAAGAUUAUGGGGGCCAUCUGUUGUGUGGCUGCUCCAAGGAAGAAACCUUUGUUUUCCUGUUACAAGAUGAGCGGCAGUCAUCUGCUUAUAAGAAUGCUGGAUGCUCCUCUAGAUGGAGCUUUCUACAUGGCAACUGAACUCAUACAAUGGAUGUUUUCGACAACCAUUCUGAGUUUUCUCAUCACAACAGUGGGAAUAUUGACUCAGAAUUUAAGCAUCGCAUAGAAACAGAUCAUGAAGGUCUUCUAGCUGGGAAGACACCAGUAGCAGCUUCUCAGGCACUCAGACAACUGAAGUCUCCUGAUUAAUUGAGCAUUGGUUGUAGCUCCAAAGUGGCUGCUGAAGGUAAAAUAUUUGGAUUGUGUUCUAUAUUUAGGGAAAACAUUCUUGUGCUGAGAAGCUUUUAGCUAUAGAAUUUUCUAAUAGUUACAUAAUGUUUUACAAUAUGAAGAAAUGCUGUUAUAAAUAAAAUUUUUACUCCAAUUUAACAAAAUAACAGAGCGGCCCUUACCUUUAACUCAUGAAAGAAUUUACAAAUCAGUAGAUUCCAGAACUUAGAAGUGAUUUUCACUGACGCAAGCUGUGGCAUAUAGUAUGGAUUUCUUCUAAUCCAUACAGCUCAUGUCUAGAAAGAGACUGCACGAGUUCCACUUAUAAAUGUCAAAUUAUUUCCAGUCAGUUGUUCAGGCUCGUCAAAUUAUGACAUGAUCCUCUUUAUAUGGUAAAUACUAUCAUAAUCUAUCGUACCUAGGAAAUUUUGAAGAGUGUAGCUGGAUAACUAAUCAUGUUCAAUACUCUUCUUAACUUGUUUCUGUAGAAUAAUAAAGUUUCUGCUGCAAUUUUAGUGGAUAAAUGUUUCAUGUUAAUGCAAUCAAUGCUGCAUAGAGGGUAUAAUUUUCAUGCAUUCUUUGCAUAAUUCCUCAUCUAAUAUUCUUAUUCUUGUAACAGAUGGAUCCAUCAGAAGAAAUUUACCCUUCAAUGUGAGCUGGAAUAAAAUGGAGACAUUUAUUAGAUAUUCCUAUUCAUUCUUUGCUGUUAAUUUUCAUGAUUGAUGCUCAAUUAAGUUUGCUUUGAUUUUAACAUUGCAUUCUUUUAACCUAGCAUAGGAAAGAGACUCCAGUAGAUCACAAGUAAUUGCACCAUGUAUUGAGCCAUCAAUUUCUCCAUCUACAUCGGCUUCUAAAGCAGGCCCAUCAUCUUUGAAGACAAGCCAAACAUCAAGUAUGAUAUCAAGACUACUCUCUGAUAACAGAGUUCCACCUGUCAAAUCUUUAAAUGAGGACAGCUCUCUUGAAGGAAGGCAGUCUUUUGUUCUUCCAGGCACUGACUUAUCCAAUGAUGGAUCCCAGAUUCCCAGGUUGGGUCUUUUGAUGUUUGGCCUUCAGUUGAUAUCUCUAAAUUAAUGUCCUCUUCCCAAGGAGAGACAUGGUCAUUUGGAAGCGGACACUCAAGUUACUGCACCAACAAACUUGCAAAUUCAAGCACUCAGCUUUCAUCAACUUCCCUUUAUUCUGAUUCACAAAUGUGCAGAGUAUGCUCAAAGGUAUUGAAUGAUAGAUCUUUGUGGAGUAGCCAGAAACUGGUUCUGAACAAAGAGAUAUCUGUAGUGGCUAUUCUGGUCUGUGGGCAUGUCUUCCAUGCAAACUGUUUGGAAAUUAUGAUGCAUGCGACUGAAGUUUGACCCAUCUUGUCCAGUCUGCAUGAAUGGUGAGAAAUUUGUAUUGAAACUAGUGGAGAGAACCAAUUGGAAGAUAAGAAGCAGGAUCUCGAGGAGCCAAGUUGCCAGCAUUGAUGUUGAUUGUGAUUCUAGUUCUGCUGAUUAUGCUUCAUUAUGAUUGUUUUUGUUUUAGAUGAUAGGUCUUUGUAUUUCUAGGAGGAAUGAAAUUUCUGUUGAUCUCUAUGACAUACUUUUGGAUUUUGAUUUUGAUGGAUUUAGAACAUGUUGAUGCCUAUUUUGAAUGACAUGUUAAAUGACUUUUGCGUAA